rnacentral:rRNA from 1 species
CCUACGGGAGGCUGCAGUGGGGAAUAUUGGGCAAUGGGCGCAAGCCUGACCCAGCAAUGCCGCGUGAAGGAAGAAGGCUUUCGGGUUGUAAACUUCUUUGACAGGGGAAGAGCAGAAGACGGUACCCUGAAAACAAGCCACGGCUAACUACGUGCCAGCAGCCGCGGUAAUACGUAGGGAGCAAGCGUUGUCCGGAAUUACUGGGCGGAAAGGGCGCGUAGGUGGGCGCUUAAGUCAGGUGUGAAAACUACGGGCUCAACCUGGAGACUGCACUUGAAACUGGGUGUCUUGAGGGCAGGAGAGGAAAGUGGAAUUCCUAGUGUAGCGGUGAAAUGCGUAGAUAUUAGGAGGAACACCAGUGGCGAAGGCGACUUUCUGGACUGUACCUGACGCUGAGGCGCGAAAGCGUGGGUAGCGAACGGGAUUAGAUACCCCUGUAGUC